GUUUUUGUAGUUGAGCACAACUACAGCCCUUCAGCCUGUUACCCUGAGUUAAACCCUCAGCAAAAACU
rnacentral:tRNA from 1 species